CGCCUGCUGCCUUCCUUGGAUGUGGUAGCCGUUUCUCAGGCUCCCUCUCCGGAAUCGAACCCUGAUUCCCCGUCACCCGUGGUCACCAUGGUAGGCACGGCGACUACCAUCGAAAGUUGAUAGGGCAGACGUUCGAAUGGGUCGUCGCCGCCACGGGGGGUCAGCGCCCGUCGGCAUGUAUUAGCUCUAGAAUUACCACAGUUAUCCAAGUAGGAGAGGAGCGAGCGACCAAAGGAACCAUAACUGAUUUAAUGAGCCAUUCGCAGUUUCACUGUACCGGCCGUGCGUACUUGGACAUGCAUGGCUUAAUCUUUGAGACAAGCAUAUGCUACUGGCAGGAUCAACCAGGUAGGUCAAGAAGCGCGGCGAGGCCC
rnacentral:lncRNA from 1 species